rnacentral:misc_RNA from 1 species
AAGACUAUAGACCUGCGGAGUACCUGCGGAAGGAUCAUUAACACAAACUGUGGUUGCGGAUGUGCACAUCGCCCUGCCUUCAAGCGGGGAUCAACGAUUGUUGCUGCUGCUCCACAUUUGGAUCCAUAUCCAUUUACCCCUGUGAACUGUUAAAGUCUUUCCAUUGUGAAAUUUAACACCGUGGAAUGUACUCUUGACUGAACACGAGAGUUUUGUUCUGCCGAAUGCCUGCUUGCGGGC